rnacentral:rRNA from 1 species
ACCCAGACUCCUACGGGAGGCAGCAGUGGGGAAUAUUGCACAAUGGGCGCAAGCCUGAUGCAGCCAUGCCGCGUGUAUGAAGAAGGCCUUCGGGUUGUAAAGUACUUUCAGCGGGGAGGAAGGUGUUGAGGUUAAUAACCUCAGCAAUUGACGUUACCCGCAGAAGAAGCACCGGCUAACUCCGUGCCAGCAGCCGCGGUAAUACGGAGGGUGCAAGCGUUAAUCGGAAUUACUGGGCGUAAAGCGCACGCAGGCGGUCGGUCAAGACGGAUGUGGAAUCCCCGGGGUGAGGCUGGGAACUGCAUACGGAACUGGCAGGGUGGAGUCUUGUAGAGGGGGGUAGAAUUCCAGGUGUAGCGGG